rnacentral:rRNA from 1 species
UGGGGAAUAUUGCACAAUGGGCGCAAGCCUGAUGCAGCCAUGCCGCGUGUAUGAAGAAGGCCUUCGGGUUGUAAAGUACUUUCAGCGGGGAGGAAGGUGUUGUGGUUAUUAACCGCAGCAAUUGACGUUACCCGCAGAAGAAGCACCGGCUAACUCCGUGCCAGCAGCCGCGGUAAUACGGAGGGUGCAAGCGUUAAUCGGAAUUACUGGGCGUAAAGCGCACGCAGGCGGUCUGUCAAGUCGGAUGUGAAAUCCCCGGGCUCAACCUGGGAACUGCAUUCGAAACUGGCAGGCUAGAGUCUUGUAGAGGGGGGUAGAAUUCCAGGUGUAGCGGUGAAAUGCGUAGAGAUCUGGAGGAAUACCGGUGGCGAAGGCGGCCCCCUGGACAAAGACUGACGCUCAGGUGCGAAAGCGUGGGGAGCAAACA